UCAAAGGAUUCAGAACUGGAU
rnacentral:miRNA from 2 species